UUUCACUUAAACACUCAGAGGCCAUUAUAGGGUUACUAAUUGGCCUAAUUUCAGUAUUGUGUCUCAGGGAAUAGGGAGGCCCUAGGAGAGGGAGACA